rnacentral:rRNA from 1 species
UACGGGGGGGGCAAGCGUUGUUCGGAAUUACUGGGCGUAAAGGGCUCGUAGGCGGCCAACUAAGUCGGAUGUGAAAUCCCCAGGCUCAACCUGGGAACUGCAUCCGAUACUGGAUGGCUUGAAUCCGGGAGAGGGAUGCAGAAUUCCAGGUGUAGCGGUGAAAUGCGUAGAUAUCUGGAGGAAUACCGGUGGCGAAGGCAGGUCUCUGGGCCGAUACUGACGCUGAGGAGCGAAAGCGUGGGGAGCGAACAGG